GAUGAACGCUGGCGGCGUGCCUAAUACAUGCAAGUCGAGCGAAUGGAUUAAGAGCUUGCUCUUAUGAAGUUAGCGGCGGACGGGUGAGUAACACGUGGGUAACCUGCCCAUAAGACUGGGAUAACUCCGGGAAACCGGGGCUAAUACCGGAUAACAUUUAGAACCGCAUGGUUCGAAAUUGAAAGGCGGCUUCGGCUGUCACUUAUGGAUGGACCCGCGUCGCAUUAGCUAGUUGGUGAGGUAACGGCUCACCAAGGCAACGAUGCGUAGCCGACCUGGGAGGGUGAUCGGCCACACUGGGACUGAGACACGGCCCAGACUCCUACGGGAGGCAGCAGUAGGGAAUCUUCCGCAAUGGACGAAGGUCUGACGGAGCAACGCCGCGUGAGUGAUGAAGGCUUUCGGGUCGUAAAACUCUGUUGUUAGGGAAGAACAAGUGCUAGUUGAAUAAGCUGGCACCUUGACGGUACCUAACCAGAAAGCCACGGCUAACUACGUGCCAGCCGCCGCCGUAA
rnacentral:rRNA from 1 species